rnacentral:lncRNA from 1 species
UUCUCUUAUCAAUAAUAUUUUCUUGCUUAUAAAAAAACAAACCUUUUUUAAUUAUAAAUCUUACACUAAAAAAUAGCAAAUUCAUUCAACUAUAAAUUUGCACACAAAAAAUUACAAACUAACUACUCAAACUCCAUUACACCUUAUGACUAGAGUUAUUGUAGCAAAAAAAAAUUAAAUAACUUUUUUAUUUAUUUAUACUAAUAUUUUAGUUUUGUUUUCUCACUAUUCAUUGUAGAAUUAAGAUCAAUAUCAACUUUGGCACAAAUAUUUCAAAAUAUCAAAUUUUAUCCUCUUAAAUUAAUCUCAAUUUGGAAAAUUUUACAAAAGAAUAUACUUGCAUUAAAACUCACUUCAUUUAAUUUAACAAAAGUAUAUAAAAUCAAAUAUCUUUAAAUAAUGUUAGGGUAGUUCCACCAAAACGGAAUACCAACAACAACACCAUUAGAGUUCUUGCCACCAAAAUCCAUUCCAGUCAAACGGUCACUAUAAACUCCAUUCACCAACAGUUUCCUUUUCCGCCAC